rnacentral:rRNA from 1 species
GACAGAGGUCCCAAGCGUUAGGCGGAAUCACUGGGCUUAAAGCGUGUGUAGGCGGAUUUGUAAGUACCUUGUGAAAUCCCACGGCUCAACCGUGGAACUGCUUGGUAUACUGCUUAUCUUGGGUCAUCUAGGGGCGAGCGGAACAAACGGUGGAGCGGUGAAAUGCGUAGAUAUCGUUUGGAACGCCAAUGGUGAAAACAGCUCGCUGGGGAUGUACCGACGCUGAGACACGAAAGCCAGGGGAGCGAAUGGG